rnacentral:rRNA from 2 species
UAAUACAUGCAAGUCGUACGCACUGGCCCAACUGAUUGAUGGUGCUUGCACCUGAUUGACGAUGGAUCACCAGUGAGUGGCGGACGGGUGAGUAACACGUAGGUAACCUGCCCCGGAGCGGGGGAUAACAUUUGGAAACAGAUGCUAAUACCGCAUAACAACAAAAGCCACAUGGCUUUUGUUUGAAAGAUGGCUUUGGCUAUCACUCUGGGAUGGACCUGCGGUGCAUUAGCUAGUUGGUAAGGUAACGGCUUACCAAGGCGAUGAUGCAUAGCCGAGUUGAGAGACUGAUCGGCCACAAUGGAACUGAGACACGGUCCAUACUCCUACGGGAGGCAGCAGUAGGGAAUCUUCCACAAUGGGCGCAAGCCUGAUGGAGCAACACCGCGUGAGUGAAGAAGGGUUUCGGCUCGUAAAGCUCUGUUGUUGGAGAAGAACGUGCGUGAGAGUAACUGUUCACGCAGUGACGGUAUCCAACCAGAAAGUCACGGCUAACUACGUGCCAGCAGCCGCGGUAAUACGUAGGUGGCAAGCGUUAUCCGGAUUUAUUGGGCGUAAAGCGAGCGCAGGCGGUUGCUUAGGUCUGAUGUGAAAGCCUUCGGCUUAACCGAAGAAGUGCAUCGGAAACCGGGCGACUUGAGUGCAGAAGAGGACAGUGGAACUCCAUGUGUAGCGGUGGAAUGCGUAGAUAUAUGGAAGAACACCAGUGGCGAAGGCGGCUGUCUGGUCUGCAACUGACGCUGAGGCUCGAAAGCAUGGGUAGCGAACAGGAUUAGAUACCCUGGUAGUCCAUGCCGUAAACGAUGAGUGCUAGGUGUUGGAGGGUUUCCGCCCUUCAGUGCCGGAGCUAACGCAUUAAGCACUCCGCCUGGGGAGUACGACCGCAAGGUUGAAACUCAAAGGAAUUGACGGGGGCCCGCACAAGCGGUGGAGCAUGUGGUUUAAUUCGAAGCUACGCGAAGAACCUUACCAGGUCUUGACAUCUUGCGCUAACCUUAGAGAUAAGGCGUUCCCUUCGGGGACGCAAUGACAGGUGGUGCAUGGUCGUCGUCAGCUCGUGUCGUGAGAUGUUGGGUUAAGUCCCGCAACGAGCGCAACCCUUGUUACUAGUUGCCAGCAUUAAGUUGGGCACUCUAGUGAGACUGCCGGUGACAAACCGGAGGAAGGUGGGGACGACGUCAGAUCAUCAUGCCCCUUAUGACCUGGGCUACACACGUGCUACAAUGGACGGUACAACGAGUCGCAAGCUCGCGAGAGUAAGCUAAUCUCUUAAAGCCGUUCUCAGUUCGGACUGUAGGCUGCAACUCGCCUACACGAAGUCGGAAUCGCUAGUAAUCGCGGAUCAGCAUGCCGCGGUGAAUACGUUCCCGGGCCUUGUACACACCGCCCGUCACACCAUGGGAGUUUGUAACGCCCAAAGUCGGUGGCCUAACCUUUAU